rnacentral:rRNA from 1 species
AUUGAACGCUGGCGGCAGGCCUAACACAUGCAAGUCGAACGAGUGGCGGACGGGUGAGUAAUGUCUGGGAAACUGCCUGAUGGAGGGGGAUAACUACUGGAAACGGUAGCUAAUACCGCAUACCAUCGGAUGUGCCAAGAUGGGAUUAGCUUGGUGGUGGGGUAAAGGCUCACCAAGGCGCCGAUCCCUAGCUGGUCUGAGAGGAUGACCAGCCACACUGGAACGGAGACACGGUCCAGACUCCUACGGGAGGCAGCAGUGGGGAAUAUUGCACAAUGGGCGCAAUCCUGAUGCAGCCAUGCCGCGUGUGUGAAGAAGGCCUUCGGGUUGUAAAGCACUUUCAUCGGGGAGGCGUUACCCGCAGAAGAAGCACCGGCUAACUCCGUGCCAGCAGCCGCGGUAAUUC